rnacentral:rRNA from 1 species
UAGGGAAUUUUGGGCAAUGGGGGAAACCCUGACCCAGCAACGCCGCGUGAAGGAUGAAGUAUUUCGGUAUGUAAACUUCGAAAGAAUAGGAAGAAUAAAUGACGGUACUAUUUAUAAGGUCCGGCUAACUACGUGCCAGCAGCCGCGGUAAUACGUAGGGACCAAGCGUUGUUCGGAUUUACUGGGCGUAAAGGGCGCGUAGGCGGUUCGGUAAGCCCUUUGUGAAAUCUCCAGGCUUAACCUGGAACAGUCGGAGGGGACUGCCGGGCUAGAGGACGGGAGAGGAGCGCGGAAUUCCCGGUGUAGCGGUGAAAUGCGUAGAGAUCGGGAGGAAGGCCGGUGGCGAAGGCGGCGCUCUGGAACGUUUCUGACGCUGAGGCUCGAAAGCGUGGGGAGCAAACAGGAUUAGAUACCCUUGUAGUCCCUGAGCGGGCUGGCAAGGCGCAU